rnacentral:rRNA from 1 species
CGGCGGACGGGUGAGUAACACGUGGAUAACCUACCUAUAUGACUGGGAUAACUUCGGGAAACCGGAGCUAAUACCGGAUAAUAUAUUGAACCGCAUGGUUCAAUAGUGAAAGACGGUUUUGCUGUCACUUAUAGAUGGAUCCGCGCCGCAUUAGCUAGUUGGUAAGGUAACGGCUUACCAAGGCGACGAUGCGUAGCCGACCCGAGAGGGUGAUCGGCCACACUGGAACUGAGACACGGUCCAG